GUUCAGGUCAGUUAAUUGAAUGUUGCAUUUAAGUACCAAUAUAAGAUAUGAUGCUAUUGCUUGGUUUGGGUGUAACAUACUUCUUCAAUGGCAACUUGUUUGAACUGCUCGGUGAGGCUUGAACCGGUUUCAAAAUCUCGAACGAGCAGAUAAGAUCUUCGUCGACGCU